GCUGGGUGUGGUGGCACAGGCCUGUAAUCCCAGCUACUCAGGAGUCCGAGGCAGGAGGAUGGCCAGUUUGAGGCCAGCCUGGGCAACACAGCAAGACCCUGUCUCAA
rnacentral:sRNA from 1 species